GACGAACGCUGGCGGCGUGCUUAACACAUGCAAGUCGAACGGAAAGGCCCUGCUUGCAGGGUACUCGAGUGGCGAACGGGUGAGUAACACGUGGGUGAUCUGCCCUGCACUUCGGGAUAAGCUUGGGAAACUGGGUCUAAUACCGGAUAGGAGCCAUCUUUAGUGUGGUGGUUGGAAAGUUUUUUCGGUGUAGGAUGAGCUCGCGGCCUAUCAGCUUGUUGGUGGGGUAAUGGCCUACCAAGGCGGCGACGGGUAGCCGGCCUGAGAGGGUGUACGGCCACAGUGGGACUGAGAUACGGCCCAGACUCCUACGGGAGGCAGCAGUGGGGAAUAUUGCACAAUGGGCGCAAGCCUGAUGCAGCGACGCCGCGUGGGGGAUGAAGGCCUUCGGGUUGUAAACUCCUUUCGCUAGGGACGAAGCUUUUUGUGACGGUACCUAGAUAAGAAGCACCGGCUAACUACGUG
rnacentral:rRNA from 1 species